rnacentral:misc_RNA from 1 species
AAAAAAACGGAGUGUCAGCCGGAGCCCAAGUGGUAGCAGAAGCAGAAGCAGAAGCAGGAGCAAGAGCUUAUCCCGGUGAGUCUGGCGACUCCAUUCUGAGUCAGGAAGCUUGAAUGAGCAUGUGAUGCUUAAACUUGCAUGAUAAAUUGUUGAAGUUGAUUGCUGCAGGCAAUCAAGUUCUGGAAAUUGGAAAACAUAUAUUUUUGUCUUUUGCAAGACUUUUGGACUUUUGUGGCUUGCACAUUUGUAGGCGUGAUGUGGAUUAUGUGUCCAAAUUGAUAAGUUUGUUUUGAUGGAUUUCAG